rnacentral:rRNA from 1 species
GGGAUAACAUUCUGAAAAGAAUGCUAAUACCGCAUGACAUAUCGGAACCACAUGGUUUUGAUAUCAAAGAUUUUAUCGCUUGAAGAUGGACUCGCGUCCGAUUAGUUAGUUGGUGAGGUAACGGCUCACCAAGACCGCGAUCGGUAGCCGGACUGAGAGGUUGAACGGCCACAUUGGGACUGAGACACGGCCCAGACUCCUACGGGAGGCAGCAGUGGGGGAUAUUGCGCAAUGGGGGCAACCCUGACGCAGCAACGCCGCGUGAAGGAUGAAGGUUUUCGGAUUGUAAACUUCUUUUAUUAAGGACGAAAAAUGACGGUACUUAAUGAAUAAGCUCCGGCUAACUACGUGCCAGCAGCCGCGGUAAUACGUAGGGAGCAAGCGUUGUCCGGAUUUACUGGGUGUAAAGGGUGCGUAGGCGGCUUUGCAAGUCAGAUGUGAAAUCUAUGGGCUCAGCCCAUAAACUGCAUUUGAAACUGUAGAGCUUGAGUGAAGUAGAGGCAGGCGGAAUUCCCCGUGUAGCGGUGAAAUGCGUAGAGAUGGGGAGGAACACCAGUGGCGAAGGCGGCCUGCUGGGCUUUAACUGACGCUGAGGCACGAAAGCGUGGGUAGCAAACAGGAUUAGAUACCCUGGUAGUCCACGCUGUAAACG